ACUAUUUUGGCAGAUUAGUGCAAUAAAUUUAGAAUUUAUUUAUGUAACAUUAUAUUACAAAUAGUA
rnacentral:tRNA from 1 species